rnacentral:rRNA from 1 species
UACGUAGGGUGCAAGCGUUUGUCCGGAAUUAUUGGGCGUAAAGAGCUCGUAGGCGGUUUGUCGCGUCUGCUGUGAAAACCCCGAGGCUCAACCUCGGGCCUGCAGUGGGUACGGGGCAGACUAGAGUGCGGUAGGGGGAGAUUGGAAUUCCUGGUGUAGCGGUGGAAUGCGCAGAUAUCAGGAGGAACACCAAUGGCGAAGGCAGAUCUCUGGGCCGUAACUGACGCUGAGGAGCGAAAGCAUGGGGAGCGAACAGG